CAGCAGCCGCGGGAACACGGAGGGUGCAAGCGUUAAUCGGAAUUACUGGGCGUAAAGCGCACGCAGGCGGUCUGACAAGUCAGAUGUGAAAUCCCCGGGCUUAACCUGGGAACUGCAUUUGAAACUGUCAGGCUGGAGUCUUGUAGAGGGGGGUGGAAUUCCAGGUGUAGCGGUGAAAUGCGUAGAGAUCUGGAGGAAUACCGGUGGCGAAGGCGGCCCCCUGGACAAAGACUGACGCUCAGGUGCGAAAGCGUGGGGAGCAAACAGGAUUAGAUACCCCUGUAGUCCUGUCUCUUAUACC
rnacentral:rRNA from 1 species